CUGCAGGAGGCCAACGACUGCGAACUGCGUGGACCUGAGCUGGCAUUUGGCCAGGACAAUGGGAUUAACUUCCCAAGCGCUGGCCAAAAAGGGCCCUGGGAUUUUUAUUUUUAUUCGUUUUCCAUUACAACUGCACAGCAACGCAAACAAAGCCCCAAACAAGGAGUAAUGGGAUUGUUAGGUCAGAUGUUGUGUGUGUGUGUGUGUGUGUGUGUGUGUGUGUGUGUGUGUGUGUGUGUAUGUGUUUAAUGUUUAUUACUGGGUGUUGAACUUUGUUGCUCACACAGCAAGAGGAAGAUUUGACUGUCAGGAGGAGCUGGUGACCUCAUUCUGUCAUUCUGUUCUUGGGGCCACUGAAGGGAGGAAGCUGGCUCUGCCGGGAGCAGGUGCUCACAAUCUACAUCUUUUGUGGGAACGUCCUCUUGAGUUUUUGGUUAUUUUUUUUUGUUUUGUUUUGUAGCCUUGGGGCCGCCUAUGAUCCUAGGAGUCUGUCAGUGCCUCGGUCUUCCAGGGUCACACGGUGUUCUAAGUCACAGGAAAGGGAGCUUGACCUGUGGUCCCAGUGAUGGAGAGAAUGAAUUAGGAGGAGACAAGGGAAGUUUUAGAAACCUCAGUCUCGCUUUCAGUCCAAGGAUUCCCCAACUGGUUGACCUCGGCUGGAGUUGACUCCCUGUCUGCUGGACACACGGGCAGGCAGGGACCUGUCAACAAACUGACCUGUCCUGAAUCAUCCUUGGGAAAAUGAGGUGUCACUGCAGAAGAGAUCCAUGACAAACCCAUUUUCCUCCCUGGCUCCACUCCCUCGAGUGACUGGGUGCAGACUGGAGAGAGGGAGAGCCAGGCAGUGGUGACAAAGCUGCCCUGUGGCAAGUACUCGUGGAGAGAUGACUGCCUAAUAAACCUGUAAAGGUGAUAUGAUCUUCAGAACAGUUACUUUUGGAGCACUGGGGCUCGGUUGUAAAAGAAGACACAGAAAGGGCCAGUGGAAGGCCAGCGUCCAGUCUCAGUGACGAAGGAGGAUGAACCUGGAGGACACUGGUGAGAGGGAUGCCAGUUGGAAAAAGACACACAAUGCCACCUUUGAGGUGCCCAUGGUCAACGUCAGGAAGAUGAAAACCAACAGGGUAGGUAGGUGCUGGCAGGGAAGGAGGGUGCGAAAUCUCAAGCAUUCGUUCUUGCUUUCCCCAAGAUCUUGAUUAAGAAAAACAUUAUGCUGGG
rnacentral:lncRNA from 1 species